rnacentral:rRNA from 1 species
UGCCAGCCGCCGCGGUAAUACGGAGGGUGCAAGCGUUAUCCGGAAUCACUGGGUUUAAAGGGUGCGUAGGCGGUUAGAUAAGUCAGAAGUGAAAGCCUGCGGCUUAACCGUAGAAUUGCUUUUGAUACUGUUUAACUUGAAUUAGGUUGAGGUUGGCGGAAUGUGACAUGUAGCGGUGAAAUGCAUAGAUAUGUCAUAGAAUACCAAUUGCGAAGGCAGAUUACUAACAAUUAACUGACGCUGAGGGACGAAAGCGUGGGUAGCGAACAGGAUUAGAUA